CAUCACCACCUUACCAGCCUGCCUUCAGCAGUAAGUGGUCAUCUGUAUCUGAUUAAUGUGAAUAUUAAUAUAUAUAUAUAUGCAUAUUAUCAUUGAGGAGCUUCAGGAUCUGACUUUUUCUGGUCAGCUUAUUUUAUUGGUCAAGGUUGCUGUGGUCAAAGACUAACGUAGAAGUGGAGCAGCAGAAGAAAAAGUAAGAAGGAACCAACAAAGGGGAACAUUGAUUGAGAAUACCUGAAGUUGCCCUGAACAAUUUUCACCUCCAGGAUCUCCGGGACUUCCAGGACCAUGUCUGCACCUCAGAACAGAUCUGAUUUAAAACCAUUUGGACUCAAACGCCUCUGUUUGUGGUUCCACCACUGCACCUCUUCUUCUCCUCCCCACCUCCCUCUCCUCUACCUCUCCCUGCCAGCUGUGGUGUUCCCCCAUCACCCAAUGCACGUCAUCGUCUCCCUCUGCUGGUCGUCCUCCUGGUCUGCAGUCUGCUGCUGAUGCUUGCACUGCUGCUCUGGAACUAUCACUGUCUGUUUAUUUCCCACAUCUGCUCCCCAAGAAGGGAGGAGGAGGAGGUGGGGAGAGGCGGGUCAUGACCCUGUUCAUUUAGGUGUUUAAAUUUUACAAUUAUGUGACUCAUAUUAUAAAAAAAUGUCUGUCUGCUAUGAUGGACAGAAAGGGAAGACACAUUUUUUCGAUAUUUCUUAGUGUUUCCCCCAUAUUGGAUCAUUCUGUGAAAAUGGUGGAGAAAUUCUGAGUUAUGGCGCCUUUUAGACUUCUCUAUUUUUAAUUCCUCAAAAUUCUAUUUCAAAAUGUCACCACCAUACAACAACUGUUCUUAAUAAAGACAAACUGAAAACCUAACGGCUCAGAUCUGAGCAGCAGAGGAGGAGAUAUACUGACUCUUUUUUUCUCCAAAUCCACUGGAUCUUACAUUUCUGCAGCUGGACAGUCUUUCAUUAUGUUGCCCUGCUCGGUAAACAGUCAUAUCUGAUGUCUUUAGAUCACAUUCAGAGAGCUUGUUUACAUGGGUAUUCUGAUGACAUCAUUAUAGCGUAACAGUUGGUAGAAUGAUCAUUUAAAAGUUUGAAACAAGUUUUGAAACAAAAAAAGCUCUGUUAUUGCUUCACCUGUCUUUUCGGAAGACUUUAAUUACAUUUUUCAGAAUAAAAGUGCAACUUCACCCUUAACAGUGUUAUCUAAUGUGAUGAUUAUGUCUGGUAUAGAAUUAGAACUAUCCUCUUUUUUUGCAAAUACACAAUUUUCCAAACACUGAACAACUAAACACAAACUAAAAAGUAAGAAAACGAUAUAGACAACUGCAAGUAAUAUCCCAAACUACACACAAUCUUUCAACUGAAUCUAUGGGAGGGGAUCCAGUACAUGGAUAUGACUAUAAAUGUGUACUUUUUGAAGUGGAAACUU